UCAUUGUCUCCAGCGCAUCUGUGUGGACAGCCGACGGCCGGCAAGCAGCGUCUCCGUGUCAGGAGCUCGGCACAGGUCUUGCCAAUGAACCAGCGAUGAGAAGAGUACAGCUGGUGAUACAGAUAAGAGAACAAAGAUGAACGAUGGGUAGCUGUGAUAUUAGGUAAGAGGAGACGUUUCAUCACCAUGGACAUUUGCAGAGUUGAUGGCUUGGAGCCCUUUCUGCUUCUUCGUGUCCAUCCCACCGAUUCUUCU